GCCUAGAUGAUUUUAGUGCUUGCACUAAAUGAAACUAGAUACAAGCGAGCGGCGGACGGGUGAGUAACACGUGGGUAACCUGCCCAAGAGACUGGGAUAACACCUGGAAACAGAUGCUAAUACCGGAUAACAACACUAGACGCAUGUCUAGAGUUUGAAAGAUGGUUCUGCUAUCACUCUUGGAUGGACCUGCGGUGCAUUAGCUAGUUGGUAAGGUAACGGCUUACCAAGGCAAUGAUGCAUAGCCGAGUUGAGAGACUGAUCGGCCACAUUGGGACUGAGACACGGCCCAAACUCCUACGGGAGGCAGCAGUAGGGAAUCUUCCACAAUGGACGAAAGUCUGAUGGAGCAACGCCGCGUGAGUGAAGAAGGGUUUCGGCUCGUAAAGCUCUGUUGGUAGUGAAGAAAGAUAGAGGUAGUAACUGGCCUUUAUUUGACGGUAAUUACUUAGAAAGUCACGGCUGACUACGUGCCAGCAGCCGCGGUAAUACGUAGGUGGCAAGCGUUGUCCGGAUUUAUUGGGCGUAAAGCGAGUGCAGGCGGUUCAAUAAGUCUGAUGUGAAAGCCUUCGGCUCAACCGGAGAAUUGCAUCAGAAACUGUUGAACUUGAGUGCAGAAGAGGAGAGUGGAACUCCAUGUGUAGCGGUGGAAUGCGUUGAUAUAUGGAAGAACACCAGUGGCGAAGGCGGCUCUCUGGUCUGCAACUGACGCUGAAGCUCGAAAGCAUGGGUAGCGAACAGGAUUAGAUACCCUGGUAGUCCAUGC
rnacentral:rRNA from 1 species